rnacentral:rRNA from 1 species
UACCAGCACCCCGAGUUGUCGGGACGAUUAUUGGGCCUAAAGCAUCCGUAGCCUGUUCUGCAAGUCCUCCGUUAAAUCCACCCGCUUAACGGAUGGGCUGCGGGGGAUACCGCAGAGCUAGGAGGCGGGAGAGGCAAACGGUACUCAGUGGGUAGGGGUAAAAUCCGUUGAUCCAUUGAAGACCACCAGUGGCGAAGGCGGCUUGCCAGAACGCGCUCGACGGUGAGGGAUGAGAGCUGGGGGAGCAAACCGG